CAGAAAUGCUAUCAAAGAAGAUGGCACUAAUUUAUUUAAAAGAAAGGAAGAAAAAAGAAAGCAGAGGAAGAAAAUGGUUUCGGAUAUGCCUAUUAUGUCCUGCUGGACCAGGAAGAGACAUGAAAUCCUGGAAAGGUUUUAAGAAAAAAAUAUCCGCGCUUCUAAGCUGCUUGGAUUUUUAAAACCAUGAUGUGGAGACAAUGUGAGGGGUUGACCCAAAGCAUAUCCUUCAAUAACACUCUGCAACCUAAGUCCCUUUCAGAGUCCUGGGGGACCCUGGCUCGGACAGUUGUGCCAGUCUUGAUCCAAGAAAGCAGGUAUUCAGAUGGAGCUUGGAACUGAAUGAAAUGUGUUAACAGUUUGGAAUGAAGACCUUUUAUGAGGCAUUCUCCUUUUGUUUAAAGAUGAGAACAUUAGAACACUGACAUUUUAAUCUGUUCUGUACAAGAGUGAGUUGUGUCAACAUGGUGCUCCCAGCUACAACACAGAAAAAAACCCAAGUUUAAUUAAAGACAGAGAAGAAACCGGAAGUGGAGACUGAGCCAUUGAGAUAACAACGAAGAGUUGUCAUAUUCAGA
ensembl:lncRNA